ensembl:lncRNA
CUCUGUAAAGAUGCACUAGGACUUCCAAGAAACCUCUGAGGAAAAGGAUAUCAAGUAUUGGAGUGUUUAAAAGCAGUGAUUCUUCACUUCUCUUGUUUUCUGUCUUUCUAAGAAUGAAUUUGCAGAGCAGUCUUCUGACACGCGUGAGGCAGCGCCAGUUCUUCAAGUCUUACGUGAAUGAAGAGAAAGCGGGCUUUGGAGUGCUGAGUGGAGACAUCUCACUGUUGUAAUCAAGAAACAGAAUUCUGCUUGAUCACCAUACCUGAAGAAAGUGGACUUUCUAAGACCUGAGAGAGGUCCCAGGACUUCACCACCACUUAGUGACAAGGAAAUACUCAGAAGUGCCCUUCAUGUCUCUUCUGUGACUCAUUGUGAAGCAAGAUCUGGGCCUGUGGGCCAGAUCCUUCUGCCAUUCCUCCAUGUAACAAAGAUUGUUCCAGCUUUGUGUUCUUACAUGUUCUGAAUAUUUUUAUCCUAUUCUUGUCAUUCCCAGGUAGCCAUUACUGGGAUGAACUUUUUCUUCCUUCUUUUAAGCUACGUGCUACAUUUAAUUGUAAGCUUGUGAUUAGUGUGAAGAUAAUAAAAAGCCAUUUAAAUUAGAACUGAUUGCUAUGGGACAGAAACAAACAGGAACGCUGGGCCUAAUCCAGUAAAGUUUUUAGGCCUUUAUUUUUCAGUGAGAUACUACUGGCAUUGUUGAAAGGCUAAGAAUCUACAAAAGAGUUGAAAGCCUACAAUAGGACAUGACAUCUCCAAUGCUUCGUUGAACACAAGCCUUUGCAUUUCCAUACACUGAAAGUCUUCUUUUUUUUUUUUUCUUUUUUUUUUCUGGAAGUACAUCAGAGCAGAAAGUCCUGGGCAGGGCACAGGUGCCAAAAAAACAUUUUAAAAGAAACAAGUGGCUGUAGCAGAGCUGGACGCACCAUGGCAUCCAGGCUUGGUGGAUUUUCAAUAGUUUUCCAAAAAAUGCGAUGGUAUAAAGUAUAUCUUUAUGGCAAUAGGCAUAUCAUCCAAACAUGCUUGAGCGGUUUGGCUAAAAAGUAUAUAAGUUUUUGGCAGGGAGUUUCUACCUCAGAAAUUGGACAGAUCAAGGAGACUCGUCUUCCACUUUUUCACAAACCCAGUUUGUCCGGAUUCUGGGACAGGUGCUUGCAAAACCCCUAUUUGGUUUUUCACGCCUUUAAGCACAGUAAUUUAGACACCUAUUUGCCAAUGACUCUUAAUCCCACCAGCAAUUUAAAACAGUUUGGUUUCCUUCUUGGUGCUAUUACAAAUUCUUGGAGAUGCAAACUUGCUAGAAGUUCAGUGUUAAAGGAAAAAGAGCCUGAUUUCACCAGUUUGUCUCCUUUAGCUGAUAGAACAUUUUUACUUAGAAACCUCAAGAAAAUCCUGGCAUGGCACCUCCUGAGAUGCAACAAAUACUGAAUGGUGUCUGUUUUGGGAACCUCCAAACUUUGCCAGCCCAUGCUCCAGUACCCAGGAAAUAGCAUGCUGCUGCAGUAGGCAUUGUUCUUUGUUCUCAUUUGCUGCCUCCAGUAGAACAUUUUAAUUUUCUACUGUUGAUACCAAAAUGACGUAAGGAGCUCUUCACCCAAGCCAACAUUUCCCACCACAUGAACUAUAUAGAAAGGAUUAUUGUGCCAAGUGCUGGCAAUGUCCCACGGUUUUUGCUGUGUCAGGAUAUCAGCCUUCUCCUCCUGGAAAAGGCCUAAAAAUAAAUGCAUUUCCUCAUUACCAGCUUAGCUCUAAGGGAGCUGGCAGCACAGAUGGAGAUGAUCUUUCUAGACCUCCCAAGUCAUUUAACAUUUCUGUGAUUUUUUCAGUAGGUGUUGUGAGGUGCAUUUCUCUCUGCUUUGAUUCUUGUGCUUAUAACCUGUUUCCGUAAACUAUGAUGGUAUGCAAAACAUCUUUAAUCUUCUCCGUUUCCUCUUACUACUAGGAAAGAAAAGAAUGGGGAAAAAAAAGAGAGAAAGAUCCAAUUUAUUGUAGCAGUAUCAACUGAGAGCUAACUGUAAAUUGGACUGGUGCAAACAGAUUCUCAUAUAUCACUAAGCCAUCUCAUUCUGAGAGUAACACCCAUAAGAACUGAAGUGUACCUGUGAAACUUAUACUAAGUAACUCUUAAGCAAACAUACAGACAAGUAUGCAUUUGAUUGUCCCCUUUACCAUCUGCUUAAUAUUCUACAUUGUGCACUACUGGGGUCAGUACGAACAUCCACUAUUUGCCUCCUGCCUGUAGGGUGCCUAUUUGCAAUUCUCAUUCCGAAUUCCGGUGCCACUUCAGUCAGGUACUGAAGAAGGAAAUGCUUGCAUUUGUAUCAUCAGACAAACUUCAAUAAUAUUUUAUUGUUGGAAGAAGCGAAAUGUAAAUGUUCAAAGUAUAAAAAUAAAUGUAUUUGGGGUUUUUAGUAGCAUUAGUAUCAAUAUAACAAAUAUGCACCCUGUACAGAGCUUCUGCAUUAAUGGGAUAUAACAUAAUUAUGAUCAGUUUCAAAUGGUCAAAUACAGAGAAUUGGUUCCUACAUGAUGGCACAAAUCACUUGGAAGUAUGCCUUACUGAUGCCAUUGCAUAUUGUUUUAGAAAGCAGUUUUUAUGGAAAACAUGCUUUUUCUACUUAUGUAAGUGUCUUCCCAGCAGAGACUUUUUUUGCUUCAAUGGCAAUAACAACUUCUGUCUAUUCAGGUCUCCAGAACUCUUAAGGGUAUUAUUUUCCCACAAGACUAGUGAGCUGAAUUGCCUACCGUGACAUAUCUGAAAAUGAUUCCAUUCCCAAAGAGUGUGUGUGAAUCCCUUCUCUUAAAAGUAAUAAUCCUUUAAGGCUUCUUGAAGUUGCUUCUUUUGGAUCACUAAUUGCUUAUGAAAAAACUCUUCUGGGGCUUUUUGCUCUACAAUUUUGAUAAAUUUUCAGUUCAUUUUCAUUUAAUUUUUAUCCUACAUCUUCGGAUAAACUGGUGACAGUUCUCCAGGACUGGACAGUGUAUCAGAGACCAUUGCAACCAGCCUUUUUAUUAAAACUUUAAAUACGAGCAGCAGGAACUCAGAAACUCAAAAAACUAUAUUUCUC